rnacentral:rRNA from 1 species
UGAAGGAACGUUGAAGACGACGACGUUGAUAGGUCGGGUGUGUAAGCGUAGCGAUACGUUGAGCUAACCGAUACUAAUGAACCGUGAGGCUUAACCUUACAACGCCGAAGC